rnacentral:rRNA from 1 species
UUAGAUAUAUAGUUAUUUAUUAUUGAAUAAUAUUAAAUACUAUUUUGGCAGAAAAGUGUAAUAAAUUUAGAAUUUAUAAAUGUGAUUUAUCACAAAUAGUAUUGUAUUUAUUUGAAAUUAUUUUGUUUAUUAUUAGAAGAUUAUUAUUGAUUA